AACGCACCUUGCACCCUUUGGUAUUCCGAAGGGUACACCCGUUUGAGUGUCAUUGUAAUCUCACUCCAACACCUUUAUUGAUGUUGGAUGUGGACUUGGAUGUUGUCGUGUUCAAUGACUCAUCUUAAAUGCCUGAGUGUACCCUGCUUUGCAGCGUAUCAGUGUGAUAAACAUCUUCACUGUUAAGUCUUUCGGGACACGCUUGUGUUGUAGGCUCUAUGCUUUCCAACCGUCUUCUGGACAAUCUCUGACAAUUUGACCUCAAAUCGGGUGGGACUACCCGCUGAACUUAA
rnacentral:misc_RNA from 1 species